rnacentral:rRNA from 1 species
GUCGAACGAAGCUAUAAAAGGAAUUUCUUCGGAGAGGAAUUUUAUAUGACUGAGUGGCGGACGGGUGAGUAACGCGUGGGCAACCUACCCCACACAGGGGGACAACAGUUGGAAACGACUGCUAAUACCGCAUAGGCGCACAGCUUCGCAUGAAGCAGUGUGGAAAACCGAGGUGGUGUGGGAUGGGCCCGCGUCUGAUUAGCUGGUUGGCGGGGUAACGGCCCACCAAGGCGACGAUCAGUAGCCGGCCUGAGAGGGCGGACGGCCACACUGGGACUGAGACACGGCCCAAACUCCUACGGGAGGCAGCAGUGGGGAAUAUUGGACAAUGGGGGAAACCCUGAUCCAGCGACGCCGCGUGAGUGAAGAAGUAUUUCGGUAUGUAAAGCUCUAUCAGCAGGGAAGAAAAUGACGGUACCUGACUAAGAAGCCCCGGCUAACUACGUGCCAGCAGCCGCGGUAAUACGUAGGGGGCAAGCGUUAUCCGGAUUUACUGGGUGUAAAGGGAGCGUAGACGGCAUAGCAAGUCUGAUGUGAAAGAUCGGGGCUCAACCCCGGGCCUGCAUUGGAAACUGUUAAGCUGGAGUACAGGAGAGGUAAGCGGAAUUCCUAGUGUAGCGGUGAAAUGCGUAGAUAUCAGGAGGAACACCGGUGGCGAAGGCGGCCUGCUGGACUGCAACUGACGUUGAGGCCCGAAAGCGUGGGGAGCAAACAGGAUUAGAUACCCUGGUAGUC